GAGUUUGAUCCUGGCUCAGGAUGAACGCUGGCGGCGUGCCUAACACAUGCAAGUCGAGCGAAGCGCUAUACUUGAAUUCUUCGGAAGGAAAGUGUUGUGACUGAGCGGCGGACGGGUGAGUAACGCGUGGGUAACCUGCCUCAUACAGGGGGAUAACAGUUAGAAAUGACUGCUAAUACCGCAUAAGACCACAGCACCGCAUGGUGCGGGGGUAAAAACUCCGGUGGUAUGAGAUGGACCCGCGUCUGAUUAGCUAGUUGGUAAGGUAAGGGCUUACCAAGGCGACGAUCAGUAGCCGACCUGAGAGGGUGACCGGCCACAUUGGGACUGAGACACGGCCCAAACUCCUACGGGAGGCAGCAGUGGGGAAUAUUGCACAAUGGGGGAAACCCUGAUGCAGCGACGCCGCGUGAGUGAUGAAGUAUUUCGGUAUGUAAAGCUCUAUCAGCAGGGAAGAAAAUGACGGUACCUGACUAAGAAGCA
rnacentral:rRNA from 1 species